rnacentral:rRNA from 1 species
UGAGUAACCUGCCCUUCACUCUGGGAUAACUCCGGGAAACCGGGGCUAAUACUGGAUAUGACUCGAACAGGCAUCUGUUUCGGGUGGAAAGAUUUAUUGGUGGAGGAUGGACUCGCGGCUUAUCAGCUUGUUGGUGAGGUAACGGCUCACCAAGGCUACGACGAGUAGCCGGCCUGAGAGGGCGACCGGCCACACUGGGACUGAGACACGGCCCAGACUCCGUACGGGAGCA